UGAUGGACAGGGAGGCCUGGUGUGCUGCGGUUCAUGGGCUUGCAAAGAGUUGGACAUGACUGAGCGACUGAACUGAAAGGAAGAGGGCCUCCCUUUCUCAUUUUCCCUUUCUUCAGGCUAGAGUGGGGACAUCGUGAGCUGGCAUCCUGGGCCAGGGGGGUAAGUAUCACAAUAUCAAAGAACCCUUGGCACCUUCACAGAGCAGAGCUGCACACGAACUUGGACUGUGGCAGGAGAGAGAAACAACAUUUCUGUGUGACGCAAGCUAUCAUUGUUUUGAAUAUCUCACAUGCAGCCAAAUUUUAAGCUGUUCAGUUUGGGGGCAGCAGAAAGGAGGGGAAGGUGAUGGUAAACCCACUGGGCCACAGGACUCGGCCACGUUCCCUGCUGUUGCUUACAGUUCAGGUAAUAAAACCAUCAUGUUAUCCCCUCUCUUACACACCCCUGCAUCUCUUUUUCUCUCUCAAUUGUUACUACCUGCAGAUCAGGACAAGGGGUGAUAUUCACUGAGAUCUUCAAUCUCCCCCCAGUUGCUGGUAGAAAAAUGGGUGUAAAGAAAGCAGAGAUCAUCUGGACUUUCUUCUGCAAAGCAGGCCUUACUUACACAGGGGACAGAUCAGCAGUGGAGUUCCCCUUGGAUGUAGGAAGCUGAAGAGAAAAUGUCCCAGGGGUUUUAGAUUGUUGCAUUUCUUUGCUCACCAUCUGAGACUUUCCCCAUCUAGAAUACCUUCCAGUACCGCAGAGGGUGGGGAGCUAUAUUUCCUUCCUUCCCAUGAAGCCAGGCUUCUACCUAUAUGACAUACUUGCAUGAGAUUUGGAAAAUGAAAGUGAAAUGCAAGCUUUGCUCAUGAUGCUGCUGCUAUGGAUUUUUGUAAAGCCAGUCAUGGACAGACUGGCUUUGUGUGUUUUGAGAGGCUCUUGGUGAAUUCAGCAAGUAUGAUGUGGUUCUGGGGCCAGUAUAGACCUACUAGUUUCAUUGUGCUUUGCAGAGAUUUAUAUUCUAUACAAACUGAAGGUUUGUGGCAACCAUGUGUUGAACAAGGUGAUUGGUGCCAUUUUCCCAACAGCACUUUUUCACUUCAUGUCUCUGUAUCAUAUUUUGGUAAUUCUCACAAUUUGUCAAACUUUCUCAUUAUUACUGUAUUUGUUAUAGUGGCCUUGAUCGGUGAUCUUUGAUGUUGUUACUGCAGCUGGCUGAAGGCUCAGAUGAUGGUUAGCGUUUCUUAGCAAUAAAGUAUUUUUAAAUUAAGGUAUGUGCAUUUUUUUAGACAUAAUGCUGUUGCCCACUUGAUAGACCCCAGUAUGGUGUAAACAUAACUUUUACCUGAACUGGGAAACCAAGAAGUUCCUGUGGCUUGCUUUACUGUGAUAUUCACUUUAUUGUAACGGCCUGGAACUAAACCUGUAAUAUCAGUAGGUGUGGGUCUGUCCCUUUCAGCCAAUUUAAGUUAAUCCAGGGCUUCCUUGGUGGUCUUGUGGUUAAGAACCUGCCUGCCAAUUCAGGGGAUACGGGUUCAAUCCUUGGUCUGGGAAGAUCCAAUAUGCCAAGGGGCAACUAACCGUUUGCCUCACAACUGUUGAGCUUGUGCUCUAGAGCCCACGCUCUGCAACAAGAGAUAUCACUGCAAUGGAAGCCCAUGCAUUGCAGCGAGAGAGNNNNNNNNNNNNNNNNNNNNNNNNNNNNNNNNNNNNNNNNNNNNNNNNNNNNNNNNNNNNNNNNNNNNNNNNNNNNNNNNNNNNNNNNNNNNNNNNNNNUAUCACUGCAAUGGAAGCCCAUGCAUUGCAGCGAGAGAGUAGAUCCUUCUUGCUGCAACUAGAGAAAGCCUGUAUGCAGCAAUGAAGACCCAGCCCAGCCAAAAAUCAGUCAAUCAAUAAAUUUAUUUGAAAAGUCAAUCCACUCUUAAGUCAAGUCAUACACACAAGAAUGUCAUAGCACCAGAUCAUCUACCUUCCCAACAUAUAGAAAACACAAGGGCAAUAUUAUCUCCUAAGUGAAAGCAACUUUCUCGCCUUCCUCUUUUAAGUCACGGCCCAUAGCAAUAGGAGGUAAACAUUAAUUUGAGUGACACAACAUUAUUUGUUUCAAUAAAGGAUCUAGCAGUCAUGAGUGUUCUUCUUAGCUCCAUGAGGGUAGAAGAAGAGAGAAGCAACAAUGAAAACUGAUCUUGGCAUUUUUCAGGAAAAGGGAGUAUCAAUGUAGAUAUUAUUAUCAGGGGCAACAGGUUACUAUUAAAACAACCAGUCCAGAUUUGGGACGUAUUAGCAACUAAAUUGUGUCCGCCAAAAUCCAUAUGUUGAAGCCCUAAACCCUCACAUGACUGUAUUGGAGACAGUUCUUUAAAGGGGUAAUUAAGUUUAAUGAGGUUAAACUUAACCUCAUUAAACUAACCCAACAGGCCCAGUGAUCUCAUAAGAAAAGACAGCAGGGAUGGGCAUGCAUGCAGGGAAAAAGUCAUCUGAGGACACAGUAAGAGGUCACCCAUCUGCAAGUCAAAAAGAGAGAGCUUAGGAGAAACCAAAUCUGCUAGCACCUUGACCUUGGACUGCUGGAAGUAUGAGAAUGUUUUUUCUGUUGUUUAAGGCAUCUCAUUGUUGUUGUUCAGUCAUUAAGUC
ensembl:lncRNA